UUGCCGGGUAUGAAUUCGAUUCUAAGUCGGAGAAUGCCCAUGAAUAGGGUCUUAUUACAGAAUCCGCAGUUUUGAAAGUAGCCCUAGACAGAUCAUUGCUAAGAGGAGAGCAGGGAAUUUCUUGCUAAUCAGGUGCUAUCAUCGUAUUAUAAUGAUUAUUCCGACGUCAGAGCAGACGGGACUACCAAUCCCAGAGUGAAUUAACCUUGUCUGCACUACCACCUUAGUUUACUAGACCUUGGGGAAUUGGCUAGUUACCUUCACUCCGCGUGGCAGCCUACCUACGUUUUGUCUUUUUCCUACGAGACCUUAUAGUUUCCCAGCCUUUCUCCGCCUACAUGCCCCCCGAAAUCAGAUUGGCUUUUUUCUUGAGGAAGGCCCAUCCGCUUUUGUUUUCGAAUAAGACUAAGGCGUGAGCGAGGGUCUCUUUGUGGUGGUCUUUCACCAUCUUCCUUUUGAUUGGCCUAUAUCUUUGAAUCCGGUCUUUCGCGAUUCCCACAGUCCCUUAGUCCCGUACCGGCUGUCGGUCUAUCUCAUAUUCGCAGAAGAAGGAACUUGCUUAAUGCCGGAAGUGUAAUUAAGUAGGCGGCUGGUCGUAGAAUAGUCUUUUCAGUAAGUGCUGUUGCAGUUGUAGAACCAUUGGCCAUUGAUUCUUCCUCGCAAACCUUUCAUCCCCGCUGUCUAGCUCUCUCGUAGUCCAAAGCGAAUUCAAUCGUAUCCGCCUUUGAGGAAAAGACCGAAUCAGUCUUUGAGCCAUCCUAAUAAAUCCUCGUAGGUAAUGCUCUUGGUCUGCCUUCAAUCAGUUUAUCAGCCUAAGGCUUCGCUCUAUUACCUGUGUUGUAAGCUUUCCAGUCUUUGAAGUAAGGUUCAAUGCUAGGAAAAAUGCUUUUGCUUCGCGGGUCUAUCACCCCAAUUGGUUUAGUUAGGAAAUUUUUUAUAUGAGUAUGCCCCUAUCCCGUAAGCCUUCCAUCGUUGCAAGCCCCUUCCAUUCGGCCCAAGCUUUCUUUAGAUUACGUCUGCUUCCGAUUCUAUUAUUCUGUUAGCCUUAGUUAGUCGUUUAGUCAAAGCCGUACGUAUGCCCCUUUAGAAUCGUUCUAUCAUUCGAAAUAGGAGCUGGGGUUGCAGGCAGAGAACUAUUGGUAUAGCGAGUUCAUGUGCUUGCAGUUGGGUUACUACCAUCCCCCUAACCAUUAGUAUCACACUCUGUGAAGUGUCUCUCUGGUAUUGGGAUAACUUCAAGCCCCUUAGCUCGCUUGUAUCGGGGGGAGCUUACUUCACUUGUUUUCUUUAAGUCACUUGCCAGGAGGGAAAGCGGCAGAUAAAGAGCACCAUCACCUUACUUAACAAAGGGCUUAUGCGAAAGAGAGCACCGCUUCCCCGAGAAGAUAAUCCGCUUUCCUAAAAUCCCUACUUUAUUGCUCUAGCUCUUGACUCAUAUGGCACUGAAAUUGGAUAGGUUCACGCUUAGGCCUGGUUAUGGAAACUCUUUAAGCAUAGUCAAUUUUUCCUUUUCCAUAGGAAACUCCAACUUAAACAGGAACUGGCCUGGAACUAUAUGUAAGGGCACUCUCAUCCACUGGCUGCAAGGAAACAACUGGAUUGGCUUUUCUAACUCUCUUUAAAAGAGACUUCUUUGAAGUAAGGUUCAAUGCUAGGAAAAAUGCUUUUGCUUCGCGGGUCUAUCACCCCAAUUGGUUUAGUUAGGAAAUUUUUUAUAUGAGUAUGCCCCUAUCCCGUAAGCCUUCCAUCGUUGCAAGCCCCUUCCAUUCGGCCCAAGCUUUCUUUCGAUUACGUCUGCUUCCGAUUCUGUUAUUCCGUUAGCCUUAGUUAGUCGUUUAGUCAAAGCCGUACGUAUGCCCCUUUCGAAUCGUUCUAUCAUUCGAAGUAGGAGCUGGGGUUGCGGGCAGAGAACUAUUGGUAUAGCGAGUUCAUGUGCUUGCAGUUGGGUUACUACCAUCCCCCUAACCAUUAGUAUCACACUCUGUGAAGUGUCUCUCUGGUAUUGGGAUAACUUCAAGCCCCUUAGCUCGCUUGUAUCGGGGGGAGCUUACUUCACUUGUUUUCUUUAAGUCACUUGCCAGGAGGGAAAGCAGCAGAUAAAGAGCACCAUCACCUUACUUAACAAAGGGC
rnacentral:lncRNA from 1 species